rnacentral:sRNA from 1 species
AAACACGUAUUUUUACUAUUUAAAUAGAUUUAAACUAGAGAAGAUGCGGACAAAAAAGGUGUAAGAAAAUGUUACCGUAAAUAGUGUAAAAAGAUGUUAAGUACACCUCCUUUUGAGAU